GUGGGCUCAGAGUCAGGACAGGCAGAGUGGUCAGGCAGGUGGGCUCAGAGUCAGGACAGGCAGAGUGGUCAGGCAGGUGGGCUCAGAGUCAGGACAGGCAGAGUGGUCAGGCAGGUGGGCUCAGAGUCAGGACAGGCAGAGCGGUCAGGCAGGCGAGCUCAGAGUCAGGACAGGCAGAGUGGUCAGGCAGGCGAGCUCAGAGUCAGGACAGGCAGAGUGGUCAGGCAGGCGGGCUCAGAGUCAGGACAGGCAGAGUGGUCAGGCAGGUGGGCUCAGAGUCAGCACAGGCAGAGUGGUCAGGCAGGUGGGCUCAGAGUCAGGACAGGCAGAGUGGUCAGGCAGGUGGGCUCAGAGUCAGGACAGGCAGAGUGGUCAGGCAGGCGGGCUCAGAGUCAGGACAGGCAGAGUGGUCAGGCAGGCGAGCUCAGAGUCAGGGCAGGCAGAGUGGUCAGGCAGGCGGGCUCAGAGUCAGGACAGGCAGAGUUGUCAG
ensembl:lncRNA